GCAUCAUCAACAACAAAAAAUUACCGUUGAGGGUCACUGCAAUAUGAGGAACUGUAUUAAAGGGCUGCAGCCUUAGGAAGGUUGAGAGCCACUGCUAUGAGCCACACCCACAGUGAGAUGCUAUUGGCUUUGAUUCUCAAUGUACCUGAAGAACAGGAGAGGACCUUCACAGAGCUGCAGACCUGUACCAGGGAACCUGGGGACAACCAGCCACCAAGCCUGGGAUUCUAAACUUCCCUUUUUCUUUUAUUUAGUUUUGUUUUUGUCUGAAGACAACAUCUCAUUCUAUAGCCACGGUUAUCCUCAACUCAGUAAUCCUCCUGCCUUGGCAUCUCAAGUGGUGGGAUCACCAGUAUAGGCAUCACAUAGAACUACCUAAUUGUCUUGAAGUACUGUCUACAAAGACGCAUGCACAAACCAGGGUGGUCCUUAGCAAGCUGAAUAAACUCUUGAUCCAUCCAAGUCAAGGGAGCACAACUCUAAAUUCACCCAAGGGUGACAUAAGACCAAAGAAGACUUCCUAGCCUCCAGCAGUCUUGUACAACAAAACAGAUAGAGCUAAGAACAUGAAGGCAGGCCAGCCAGCCCCAGCUAGGACAAGCACUGAUGUAAGUAAGGACCUGCAGACAAGCAACAUGUCCUCUGUCCUCCCUACUAUCAUCCUGCCAGCAGGCUGCACACAAAUUGCUUAGUCUAAUGCUCAGCUCUGGCUUGCACAUUCAUGCAGAAAAACACUGCAUCAUCUAUAGUAAACUAUCAACCCUCAGGACAGACACUGGGAAUACCAACUCUCUGUGAUGUUAAUCUCCAUUGCUUUAGAAUCACCUAGGAGAUCCACUCUGGGUAUGUCUGUGAGGCCAGGGAAGUUUAACUGGGGAGGGAAGACCUACUCUGGAUGGGGGGCAGCACUAUCCUAUCUACUGAGGACCCAUUUAUUUCAAUAAAAAGGAGGGAGUGAACUGAGCCACAGCCUCGCUGCCCUCCGAGUGCCUGUCAGACUGGGAAGAUGUGAGCAUGCAGCCCCACACUCCCACUGCCAUAGCUGCCAUAUUUUCUCACUGCAGUAAGACUUCUGCCUCCUCAGGGAAUCAAAAACAAACCAUCCUUUCCUUGAGGGACUUUUUUUCCAGGUAUUUACCCCAGCAACAAGAAAGAUAACUAGCGCACUUCCUGCUUAGACAUUUUCCCCUUAGGAGACAAAUACAAACACGUACAUGCAAAGUUAUCUGCGCUUUUUUCUUUGGCAGGAGUUCCCAAGCUUGGGGCCAGUUAUGUAACCUGUGGAGCCCAGUGCAAAAUUAAAGCUCGGAGGCUUGGCUUUUGUUAACCUGCUUGUAAGAAUUUUUAAGGCCACGACAAUGGAGUAGGAAAUCAAGCAUGGGCUCUUUAAUCAGACCUGGAGAGGGACCAUUCCAUGUGACUGGGCAGGCUGAUCUUCAGGAAGCUGGCCCUCCUCAUUCCCUCAUCCCACUCCUGAUGUGUGACAUUUACAUUGUUGUCUAAACCCUUCUGGUCUUGAGAACAACCACAAGCCAGUACCGACCUAUUUCCAAGUCUUGGAACCUUGUCCUAGGUUCCAGGCAAAUGCAAAUACUGGACUCUCCAAACAUCCUGAAAUCUCCCCAGCUCAUCACCAGCAAUGCGUUCUUCUGCCGAUGGAAUGCUAACCACUAUUAAGGUUUUCCUCAGUUCCACUUCUUCGUGGUGCCUUCCCCAUGACUUCUGAGGUAAGAAAGACCUCUCUCCUAGCCUGCUGCCAAUCCAGCGCAGCUUUUAUCACACACCCACGGAAGAGCUGUGUCUGCUAUUAGGCGAACAUUUCCCAAAGAUCAAGUCUCUUUCCAUUUCCCUUUCGUUUUCAUCCCCACAGCAACAUGACCUCAAAGAUCCCAUGUGAUAGGGGACAUGGUGGCACAUGCCUGUAAUCCCAGCACCCAGAAAGGUGAGACAGGAGGACCUAGAAUGCCACGAGUUUGAGGCCAGCCUUAACUAUGAAGAUUUUUGUCUGAGGGGGAAAAUGGCCCUAUGAAUACAUUUCACACAAAAUGGUGUCUGUCAGCAUGGAACUAUGUAAGAAGUCUUCUACGUAGCAAGCACUUGCCUAGGGUCACAGCAGGACCAGCCUAGAUGUACAGAGCUUCUGUAACUAUACCACUUUCGUGUCUUAGGGCAUCUCUGGAAUGCACCACAUUUUAGAGACCAAGAACACUGUGCCCUGUCACAAGCCGAGAUGCUCAUGUGGACAGCAGUAUGUAAGGACUUUACAGGCAAGCUGUUGGGAGAAGUGGUCCAUCCUCCUUCAAGAAUAACAGGAAAUUCUCACCGGGGCCCAGGAGCCUGUGCUGUAGAACACGCCUCUUUCUGUGUAAUUGAGGUUUUUCCUGAUGUCUCUACUUAUGAACAUGGUCAAAUUCCUGUGAAAAUCAUUUUUCUGCACUUUUGAGCCACUGAAAAGAGAGAACAAUAAAAUGAUCAAACAUGGUAACACUAGCUGAGAUCCUGGGAUUUUAACAUCGAGAAGAUGGAGAGUCAGAAAACAUACCUUUAGAAAAACCUUCAUUCCACAAAAAUCUUUUGAUGGUGUCCCUUUCUAUUGAAAACAUCAUGAUUUGCAGGAUGGCACCUGGCUUUGACAGGAGACACCACCUCUAACAAUAUAAACCAGGCCUAUUCCUCAGAAAUUUCCACAGAGCACUUCUCUUCACCUUGUCAGGAAAAUGCUUUUUUAGGACAGAAUCUAGAUUCCAGGAUGCCUCCCAGGCUAGAACCCAGACAUGUGUGCCACUGGCCGGCCGCAACAGCUGUGAUCCCAUUUUUCCUGCUGAGUAGGCUCACUGUGUGUGCACACGCACGUUUUCCAGACCCAUCAUGCCAGCUCUGAGCUGAGGAAAAGGCUUUCUCUGUGAGUCCCCUUGCUCCACCUCUGGAGUUGGAAGGCAAUUCGGCCAUUCACUGUUUCUUUGGGAAAGCCUACUGUAUGCUUCAAAUACCAUGAAUGCACUUUAAAGUGCAUUGUAAAAGGUAAGUACUCCUAGCAAGCUGGAAUAAGGCUAGUAAAUAAAAACAAAUGCAUUUCUUCUUUUGUGAUUCUUUUUUGUUUAUUUGUUUCUAGAACCUACUUUCAAUUUCUCAUAAAUUCUGAAUUCUGAUAUCUCUCCCUCCACCUCUCCCUCUGUGUGCUAGAACAGAGAUAAGAGCUGUGUUCCUCUGCUGCUUCUUCCUACCUGUCUUUCCUUAGCUAAGUACAGAAAUAGUCCAAAGUCACCCAGAAGUGGGGCUGGGCUUGAGAACUGUUGCAUGUGGUGAGGGAGAGAGGGAGGAAAACAAGGAGGGAGGGAGGGAUUGAGGGGGAGAGGGACUGAGGGAGGAAAGCAAGGAGGGAGGGAGGAUGAAGAAAUGGACGUCACUAACUCUACUAUGACUGGCUGGACAUUCUGAGUUUGACCAAUAGAACCUUAACUUCCACCUAAUAGCAGCCAUGAUCAUGGAGCCAGCACUUAGUAAGCACUUGCUUUUUAGACCCUCCGCUGCCUGCAUGAGGGCUCUCACUGACUCCUCACAGCUUCAUCAAGAUGGGCUGGUGAGCAUCCCCAUUUAACAGGAAAUCAGAGCUUAGGAGGUUUAACAACCUGUGACAUAAAACUCUGUGGUAAGAAAGAGAUGUCUCCAAUUCCAAACCCCACCCUCUUUACAUCUAGGCUGCAUGAACCUAAACACUCUCAUCCAGGCCAGGGAGAUGAGUCAGUCAGUGGAAGCAAACAUGAGGACCUGUGUUUGAUUCCCAGAACCCAUGGCCUGGCAUGGGGGCUUGCAGAGUCAAGCAGACCUCAGGAGCUCCAAGGCCAGCCUGCCUAGCUGCCUGGCCUAAUCACCAAGAUCCAGAUCAAUAACAGACACUGUCUCAACAAAAAAAAAAAAAAAAAAAAAAAAAAAAAAAAAA